AUCGCAUCGGCCUCUAUUCGUUUGCAUGCAUUUAGAAUUAAGGUCGAACUAAAUUACAGCCUGACUACAACGAUUCUGUGCGGAGAAAGAACAACAAGCAUCAUCAAGACAUGGAAAGACGGUCAUCUGUGACGCAUCCAGUUGAUGAACAUGAAAUGCGACCGCCUUCGAGGUCAUCGUCUCCUCCUUAUUACGCUCCAUCAUCCUCGGAACCACAGCAACAGAUGUAUUCCCCUCACGGACAGCAGUAUAACUCGAACCCGCAGUUGAACUCGCAACAGGCUCCAUACUAGUCUCCAAAUCCGCAGAUGAUGCAUGGACAACCUGGGCAGCAAUACGCUCCAAAUCAAGUUCCGGUUCAACCGUAUCACCCGCAUAUGCAACAGUAUGGACAACCGCCGCCUCAACAGCAAUUCAUGCAAUCCUCACAACAGGUCGUCAUCGUCAAUCAGCCAGCGGCGACCCCGAUGAAGGGCUUGCGAGUCUGUGACGUCAAAGGACACCGGGAUUGGUCUACUGGACUGUGAGGAUGUUUCUCCGACUGUGGUUCCAGGCGAUAUCUGCUACGACAUCCUUGCAGUAGCUUGUUGUGCUGAGCUGGCGCUCUGUCAGAUGAUGAGGGAGUUGGAUGCCAUGGGACUUUAAAACGACACAUGCAUCGGCAUUUCUUGGUGCCCUUCCAUUCGAUUCAGUUUCUAAAUAUAGUAUAUGCAUGAUUAGAAACAAACACGCUUUCUUUGUUAAAAGAUGCAUGGAUUAUAUAAUGAGGAUGUAGCAGUGUUACGAUUUAAAAUGUUUACUAAAAAGUUAACGUGAUAUGAUGACAUUAAAAGCCUGUUUAGUCUAUUUUUGCAGCAUAUUUUGUGAAUGUAGCAUAUUUACAAAAAAAAUACAAUAAACUGCCUAUUUAGAAUAUUUAGUAGCAUAACUAUCAUUAUACAGCAAUUAAGCACGCUUAUUUAAUAGGAUAUAAUAAACAGCGCAUGAGCCUAUUUAGCAGCAUAUUUUAAAUUUAUAUUUAGCAUGUUUGCUUUAUAAGAUAAAAUAACAGCCUAUUUAGUCUAUUUAUUAGCAUUACUUACUUUUUGCAUAAUUAGCAUAUUUAGUUAUUUAUUUACUCUAUAAGAUGAAAUUAAAAGCUUAUUUAGACUUUUUUGCAGUUUAUUUAGCCUGCUUCUCAUGUUUAUGAAAUAGAAGAAAUAAAAUGAAAUAAACAAUA